GAUGAACGCUGGCGGCGUGCUUAACACAUGCAAGUCGAACGAUGAAGCCCAGCUUGCUGGGUGGAUUCGUGGCGAACGGGUGAGUAACACGUGCGCAACCCGCCCCUGACUCUGGGAUAAGCGCUGGCAACGGCGUCUAAUACUGGAUAUAUCCCGUCAUCGAACGGUGUGCGGGUGGGAAGAUUUUGCGGUUGGGGAUGGGUUGGAGGCCUUCCGGGUUGUUGGUGCGGUAAUGGCCCACGACGGCGUCGCCGGGUAGCCGGCCUGAGAGGGUGACCGGGCACACGGGGACUGAGACACGGCCCAGACGCCUACGGGAGGCAGCAGUGGGGAAUAUUGCACAAUGGGCGGAAGCCUGAUGCAGCAACGCCGCGUGAGGGAUGACGGCCUUCGGGUUGUAAACCGCUUUGAGCGGGGAAGAAGCGAAAGUGACGGUACCUGCAGAAAAAGCACCGGCUAACUACGUG
rnacentral:rRNA from 1 species